UGAUACUUGAUGCAUUAAGGUGAGUUUAGACCACACUUUGUUUCUACAUUGUAAGAUAGUUAUCAUUUUAUGUUUUUAUAACUAUACUGAAAAGAGACUGGCUGAAUGGGUUUGCAGAUGAAGUUGUAAAAACACAUUAAUUCACGCAUAAAUUGUCCAUCUGUCAUCUUUGGGCGUCCUUAGGAUGGAAAUGAUCACGUAGCUCGAGUAAAACGCUCUUACACCAGGAACCGGAAGUGGAGUUUUACAGCCUUGUUUACGGCGCUUGUUUACAUUAUCGAUAGAGUAACAGGAAUGAAGAAUCCCUGGCUGCAAUGUUUUAGCAGAGACGUUGCGUUAUUUACAAGGAACGAGCUGUGAAAUAAUGUACUUUGGGCAAUGAAUAUCGGAGUUUGUCAAUUGGCAUGGGCAACUGUCAACGUUACACUCGUGUAAGCAAUGGACUUGAUGUUGAAGUAAAAGUUACCGUUACUCAAUCGGGUGGCCGAAGCGACCUAAUUCGUGUUUAUCCGGGUAAGUCACGGAACAUUCCUACAGAUUAUGGAAUCGUUACCAUAUCCAUAUUUGAUCCGGACGGUCCUGAUAAGAGGUAUCCAAACGUAAACAUAAAUUUACCGUAUGAGUACAGUAUUGUUAUCGGAAAAAAACAAACGUGGAAAACCCAAACUUCGAAGAGCAUUGCUUAAACACGUUUACUUGCAUAUUUAUAUAUUUAGUUUUGUGUAUACAUUUUCACAAUGGAAUUUGUCGGCAAAGUGUACGAAUCUGAUAAACAUCAAAAGAAUCUGGAAAUCAUUUUGCGUGAACUUCAUGGAAUCUACAACGUUUGCCGCUAAGAAUAUUGAAAAUGCCAAACUGAGGAAGAAAUAUAUCAACCUGGCCAAGAACACAGCCUAUGAGAUACUGCAAGAAGCUAACUUUCAUAGCAAAUGACAGCUAACUCAAUCUUUUGGGCAGUCAAAACAGCUAUGUCCCUAGUAUUAUUGUUACAAGGUUUUAAAAUAUCGGACCAAAGAGUGUUGUCUGUCCUAUAUCGGACCAAUGCAUUGUCAUAACAAUAAUACGGUUUGUUGCUAAUAAAUGAUUGUGCAAUAGUUUGAAACAUGCACUCCGUCGGGUAAGGCACGGCGAAUACCACAUGGAACGACGUUUUAUACAGAUUUGUUGUACGACUUCAUAAUUGCUUUCAAACUGCAGCAGUAAUGAACUUUUACAUUUGAACACUUGAUGAUGGCAUUUCGUAGAGUAGUAAAAUGUUUGAAAAAGACUUGAGUUGAAAUAAAACUUCAUUAACGUUAAAACAAGGAUAUGAUGAUACAUUAAUUCAGUGCAUUGAUGAAGACGUCUGAUUUGUUUGUUUGUUUCUUUUUCGGCGAACGCCGUCUAAAUUCGUUUUCGUUACCUAUGCCACGUGACUUCAGUUUGCAAAUCAAACUACUUGAUAACGCAUUAUUGAUAAUUUAUCAAAA
rnacentral:lncRNA from 1 species